GACGAACGCUGGCGGCGUGCUUAACACAUGCAAGUCGAACGGAGUGCCUAUGACAGAGGUUUCGGCCAAUUGAUUAGGUUACUUAGUGGCGGACUGGUGAGUAACGCGUGAGGAACCUGCCUUUCAGAGGGGGGACAACAGUUGGAAACGACUGCUAAUACCGCAUGAUACAUUUGGGCGGCAUCGCUUGAAUGUCAAAGAUUUAUCGCUGAAAGAUGGCCUCGCGUCUGAUUAGAUAGUUGGCGGGGUAACGGCCCACCAAGUCGACGAUCAGUAGCCGGACUGAGAGGUUGACCGGCCACAUUGGGACUGAGAUACGGCCCAGACUCCUACGGGAGGCAGCAGUGGGGAAUAUUGGGCAAUGGACGCAAGUCUGACCCAGCAACGCCGCGUGAAGGAAGAAGGCUUUCGGGUUGUAAACUUCUUUUGUCAGGGAAGAGCAGAAGACGGUGCCUGACGAAUAAGCCACGGCUAACUACGUG
rnacentral:rRNA from 1 species